rnacentral:rRNA from 1 species
GGAAGUAAAAGUCGUAACAAGGUCUCCGUUGGUGAACCAGCGGAGGGAUCAUUAAAGAGUAGUUAUUACAACAACUCCAAACCCAUGUGAACUUACCUAUGUUGCCUCGGCGGGGGAACCUACCCGGUACUUACCCUGUAGGCGACCCGCCGAUGGACCAUCAAACUCUGUUUAUUAUGUAACUUCUGAGUGUUUAAACUUAAUAAGUUAAAACUUUCAACAACGGAUCUCUUGGUUCUGGCAUCGGUGAAGAACGCAGCGAAAUGCGAUAAGUAAUGUGAAUUGCAGAAUUCAGUGAAUCAUCGAAUCUUUGAACGCACAUUGCGCCCAUUAGUAUUCUAGUGGGCAUGCCUGUUCGAGCGUCAUUUCAACCAUCAAGCCCUAUUUGCUUGGCGUUGGGAGCUUAACCUACCCUGUAGGAUAACUCCUCAAAUAUAUUGGCGGAGUCGCGAAGACCCCAAGCGUAGUAAUUUUUUCUCGCUUCGGGUGUGUCGGCGCUGGCAUCCAGCCACUAAACCCCUAAUUUUUUAGUCUUGACCUCGGAUCAGGUAGGAAUACCCGCUGAACUUAAGCAUAUCAAUAAGCGGAGGA